rfam:Oryza glaberrima chromosome 4 Oglab04_0065_1, whole genome shotgun sequence.
AAAAAGACAAACCCUGUGUUUCCGUGUCUAACGUUUAACUGUCCGUCUUAUAUAAAUUUUUUUAUAAUUAGUAUUUUCAUUGUUGUUAGAUGAUAAAACAUGAUUAAUACUUUAUAUGUGACUUGUCUUUUUAAUUUUUUUAUAAUUUUUUAAAAUAAGACGGACGGUCAAACGUUAAAUAUAGAAACCCAGGGUUUGUCUUCUU